GUUCAUAGAACUUUCUUAAGUAUUUGAAUGGUUUAAAUGAUUUUUUAGUUUAAGCGGAUUGGUCGAUUUAGUUUCUAUUUUUUAUUCCUCUAUCAUGAUCCAUAAUCAAGUCAAAUUUGAUCUAAGUUGAAUUGAAAGAGAACCAAAUCAAUAUUUUAAACUCUCAAUUCACAUAAAAUACAUAGUCCAACUUUGAAUAUACAUGUAACAUAAGUAUAUAUACAAAUAUAUAAAACAUG
rnacentral:lncRNA from 1 species